CUGACUCUCUUAACAGAAAUAGAUAUUAACAAAAUUAUCAUAUAACUUUGUCAAAGUUAAAUUACUGGUUAAAUUCCUGUAUAUCCUUAUGGCUUAUCCUUACCAACUGGGUUUUCAAGGUGCUACUUUCCUUAUUAUAGAAAAACUUCUUCACUUUCAUGACCAUAUUGUUAUUAAUUGCAUU